rnacentral:rRNA from 1 species
GACGAACGCUGGCGGCGUGCCUAAUACAUGCAAGUAGAACGCUGAAGAGAGGAGCUUGCUCUUCUUGGAUGAGUUGCGAACGGGUGAGUAACGCGUAGGUAACCUGCCUUGUAGCGGGGGAUAACUAUUGGAAACGAUAGCUAAUACCGCAUAACAAUGGAUGACACAUGUCAUUUAUUUGAAAGGGGCAAUUGCUCCACUACAAGAUGGACCUGCGUUGUAUUAGCUAGUAGGUGAGGUAAUGGCUCACCUAGGCGACGAUACAUAGCCGACCUGCGAGGGUGAUCGGCCACACUGGGACUGAGACACGGCCCAGACUCCUACGGGAGGCAGCAGUAGGGAAUCUUCGGCAAUGGGGGCAACCCUGACCGAGCAACGCCGCGUGAGCGAAGAAGGUUUUCGGAUCGUAAAGCUCUGUUGUAAGUCAAGAACGGGUGUGAGAGUGGAAAGUUCACACUGUGACGGUAGCUUACCAGAAAGGGACGGCUAACUACGUG